rnacentral:rRNA from 1 species
UACGGAGGGUACGAACGUUAAUCGGAAUUACUGGGCGUAAAGCGCGCGUAGGCGGUUUGUUAAGUCGGAUGUGAAAGCCCCGGGCUCAACCUGGGAAUUGCAUUCGAUACUGGCCGACUAGAGUACGAGAGAGGGAGGUAGAAUUCCAUGUGUAGCGGUGAAAUGCGUAGAUAUGUGGAGGAAUACCGGUGGCGAAGGCG